rnacentral:rRNA from 1 species
UACAGAGCCACGAGCGUUAGGCGGAAUCACUGGGCUUAAAGCGUGUGUAGGUGGAUGGCUAAGUGACCUUGUCGAAAUCCCACGGCUCAACCGUGGAACUGCUUGGUAUACUGGGUCGUCGUUGAGGCACUCAGGGGCGAGCGGAACAGAUGGUGGAGCGGUGGAAAUGCGUAGAUAUCAUCUGGAACGCCAAUGGUGAAGACAGCUCGCU